rnacentral:rRNA from 1 species
UACGUAGGGGGCGAGCGUUGUCCGGAUUCAUUGGGCGUAAAGAGCUCGUAGGCGGCUGACCGAGUCGGGCGUGAAAUUCUCAGGCUCAACCUGAGACUGUCGUUCGAUACUGGUCUGGCUGGAGUCCGGUAGGGGACCACGGAAUUCCUGGUGUAGCGGUGAAAUGCGCAGAUAUCAGGAGGAACACCGAUGGCGAAGGCAGUGGUCUGGGCCGGUACUGACGCUGAGGAGCGAAAGCGUGGGGAGCGAACAGGAUUAGAAACCCCCGUAGUCC